AAAAUAUGUUCUUCAAUAAGGAUGAACAUUUUUGCUCAAACCACUGGCAUUUGUGAAGAAACCAAAGAGAUCUUGCUUAUAUGGCAAGUAAGACUUAUGUUUCUCAUUUUCUUUCUUCGCUCUAUACAUCACGUAAUGUUUCUCAUGUGCCGUCGACGACGUCGUUUUCGCCUUAACCUUCUUCACCAUAACAUUUCUCACCUCGCUGGACCUUCCUUUCUCCGCCUUUGCUUGUGGCGGAUGGAAAAGUACUAAAGUAUCCUUGCCGUCGCUGUUGCUUCGUAGCUUAUGUUCCUUGAACCUCCACAGCUUCGACAGCCCCGUCGAGUUACUUUUCACUGCCGUCUUCGGCUUCCACUCGCAGUAGAAUUCCGUUGGCACUGUUAACUCCGAUUUUUCCGGUCCCGAUUCUGAACCCUCAGCAGCCGUAGACGAUAGAUGAUUAUCCAUAUUCUGAACGAACACCUUUUUAAUCGGCGAUCGGAGACCGGAAGCGCCGUCGUAACUGUCCGAUAGAAGAUUUUGGUUGAAGACAGGGAACACCUCUCGGAUCUGGCCGUUCUCGGAUGCAUCAUCGGCGGAAAUCGGAGAACCGUCAGGAUUCGUGAACACGAAGGUAAACUCUUCUUCUUCUUCGUCUUCCUCCUCCUCCUCC
rnacentral:lncRNA from 1 species